UAAGGAAUAUUGGUCAAUGGACGCAAGUCUGAACCAGCCAUGCCGCGUGAAGGAUGAAGGUCCUCUGGAUUGUAAACUUCUUUUAUCUGGGACGAAAACGGGAUUUUUAUCUCAAUUGACGGUACCAGAGGAAUAAGCACCGGCUAACUCCGUGCCAGCAGCCGCGGUAAUACGGAGGGUGCGAGCGUUAUCCGGAUUUACUGGGUUUAAAGGGUGCGUAGGUGGGCUUAUAAGUCAGUGGUGAAAUCCCCGAGCUUAACUUGGAAACUGCCGUUGAUACUAUGGGUCUUGAAUUAUCUGGAGGUAAGCGGAAUAUGACAUGUAGCGGUGAAAUGCUUAGAUAUGACAUAGAACACCAAUUGCGAAGGCAGCUUACUACAUAUAAAUUGACGCUGAGGCACGAAAGCGUGGGGAUCAAACA
rnacentral:rRNA from 1 species